AGCAGUUAUUUAUAAUCAAAGGGAAAAUAGAGUGAAGAAAGUUGGACUUUUCUACAAACUAUGUCGGUUCGCUUACGUUGAAAGUUUGAUUUCAACUCCUUGAACGUAUGCAGCUCCAACUCCAAGCACAUUGGCUGCACAUGGAAGUAUGGUAGGAAAAUCUAUCUUGAAUGAGGACUAAAGUGAAAUUGGAGAGUUACUUAAAUAUAGAGUGGAAGAAUCAUUUGUUAGAUUUUGAUUAUGUACUAUGAAAUUGCAAUCAUCAUUUUGCCAAUUUUUUUUUUUUUUUUUUUGGAUUGAUAACUUGAACUGUUUAUGGCCAGCAACUAAAUUUCUUUCGUUUCAAUUUA